GGGGAAUGAGAAAGAAACACUCAAUUGAACAAUAUGAUCGGAGGCUGCUUGCCUUGAGACACACUACUCUUCUCCGACCCCAAGCCAUUCAUUGAAGCUUUUAACAGGUUCAGAGAUUUGGUCCAUUAUCAUCAUGGCAGAGAGCAUGGCAGCAAGAUAUGGUGCUGGAGAAGUAACUGAGAGAUAAACCCUGAUCUGCAGGAAAAGAGAGAGCAAGUCUGGACCUGGCAUACACUUUUAUAUGUUCAAGCCCCACCCUCAGUGUUACACAAGGCCAUAUCUCCUAAUCCUUUCAAAUAGAGCACUCCUCGGUGACUACUCAUUCAAAUCUAUGAGCCUUUGGGGAGAUAUUCUUAUUCAAACCUCCACAAUUAACAUCCUUAAUUUCAUUCAUGACAAGUAAAAUUCUGCCCCAGUUUCUCUAUGCAGAUAGUUAUCAAAAAGCACAAUAUAAUUUUAAGGUAAAAUUGUAAAUUAUUUAUUCUUAAUAUAAACAUAAACAAUGAA